CAUUCACUUUUGAAUCACCUCACCAAACCUUUGUUAGUGUAUAUUGUUUAAAUACGCCAAGCUUGUGAUCUAAAAUGUGUAUUUUCAAGUCACAAACAAGAAUUUAGCUAACCAAAGCCCAAACUAAACCAUAUUCACAUUUUAAAAGGGCUCAACCACGGUAGCAAUGUGUUACUAUAUCUAAAUCAAACCUAUAGAAAUUUGAGCUGAAUCCAAACCAAACUUAAAGAAUAUCCAAAUAAGAUUAAUUUUGUGCCUUCGAAGAACCAAAAACCAGAUUGACCAUGAAUCAAACCUAUUGACAUCUGAACUCCCAUGCAAAAACAAAUCAUACGAGCACUACAAGAAAUAUGGGUUUUAACAGCAGUAGAGGAUAGCGUUUUUUGUCUUUCUGCUAUCAUUGACAUAUCCUUUAGUUUUAGAUAGCGUUUGCAAAAAUGUAAACGCUAUGUUUGGUUGGUCCGAUUUUAAUUCUACAAACGCUUUUCAUAAACGUAUUAUACAUAACACUUCCAGUUUUGAAACGCUAUGCAUAAUUAAGGCGGAAAAAUUAUUGAUUUUACCAUCCACCCUCUUUUCACUUUCUCUCUCACUCCAUUUCAUUUGCCUCCAAACCCAAAGCCCAAAAACAUAUACCCUAAACCCUAAAUUUUAAACACAAUUUCCUAAAACCCAAAUAUUUUCUUAUUUUAAUGUCAACACAAACCCUAUUCAUAUAUAUCAAACUACAUAUAUAUAUUCUAGACCUUAAACUUAACCCGAUAUAUACAUAUCAAUUAAAUUUUAAAAUUUUGAAUAUUAAAAAAAAUUCAAUAAUUAAAGAAACUUUAAUAUUUUAAACUCUAAUAUCAAAACUUAAGCGUUAAGAUUCUUAUCUCCAAAUUUAACUAUAAACUCUAACUCAAAGCUUUCUAAAUUUUAAUAUACCACAGUUUAAUACAAUUUAAAAUUUUCGUUUCAAAUAUUAAAUCUAAACCUCAAAUUCUAAAAUAUAGAAAUAUACAUAUAUAUACAUUCCAAAUUAAUCUUAUAUCCUAAACCACAUAGUACUUUAACCCAUUUCAUAUAACAUUAAACCUCAAACUUAUGCAUAAAAUUUAAUUUCUAUAAUAUAUAUAUCCUAAACUAUAUACCACAUUUCAGUCGUACAUUAUACAUUUAAAAAAUAAAAAUAAACCACUAAAU
rnacentral:lncRNA from 1 species